rnacentral:rRNA from 1 species
AGGCCUACCAUGGUUUUUACGGGUAACGGGGAAUUAGGGUUCGAUUCCGGAGAGGGAGCCUGAGAAACGGCUACCACAUCCAAGGAAGGCAGUAGGCGCGCAAAUUACCCAAUCCCGACACGGGGAGGUAGUGACAAUAAAUAACAAUACGGGGUUCUUUCGGAUCUCGUAAUUGGAAUGAGUACAAUUUAAAUCUCUUAACGAGGAACAAUUGGAGGGCAAGUCUGGUGCCAGCAGCCGCGGUAAUUCCAGCUCCAAUAGCGUAUAUUAAAGUUGUUGCAGUUAAAAAGCNNNUAGUUGAAUUUCGGGGUUAGUAGGUUGGUCAUGCCUCUGGUAUGUACUGGUCUCACUGAUUCCUCCUUCCUUAUGAACCGUAAUGCCAUUAAUUUGGUGUUGCGGGGAAUUUGGACUGUUACUUUGAAAAAAUUAGAGUGUUUAAAGCAGGCUAACGCUUGAAUACAUUAGCAUGGAAUAAUGAAAUAGGACGUUCGAUCUUAUUUUGUUGGUUUCUAGGAUUGACGUAAUGAUUAAUAGGGAUAGUUGGGGGCAUUAGUAUUCAAUUGUCAGAGGUGAAAUUCUUGGAUUUAUUGAAGACUAACUACUGCGAAAGCAUUUGCCAAGGAUGUUUUCAAUAAUCAAGAACGAAAGUUAGGGGAUCGAAGACGAUCAGAUACCGUCGUAGUCUUAACCAUAAACUAUGCCGACUAGG